UUUUAGAAUGAUACUGUUAUCAGUUAUCUCGCGCACUUUCAAUCAAAAGUCUGUCAGUGUGAGAUCGUGGAUUUUUGUCACGCUCUGGCUGACUUCCUAAAUGUAUUUUGCUUUGCAUUCGAACAAAAUAUACAUAUAUCACAUUUCCAAACGCAGUUGCACAAACUUUGAUAGAGUAUCGUAUUCCUAAUGGCAACGCUACGCAAUAAAUGCACAAAAAAAGCAAUCAACGCAUCACUAAAUUUGUUGAUGCCAUUGUUCAAUACAAUAGCGACCGAAGAAGAAAGGAAGUCAGCCUCUCUUCCAUCGUAUCUGUUUUCGGGGUAUCUUCGAGUGGCUCAUCAUAAAUAAAGGUGCGAGACCACGCCGAAACUCAUUAAACCACAUUUGCACGGUUGCCAUCGAAGGAGAAUAGUCAUCUUAAACAUCUUGGAUGCUGGCUAUUUGAUAUCACCAACUAUGCCGUCUACCAGUAUGUACUAUACGAUGGAAAAUUUAUCUUGCGCUGUUAACGCCAUUGGGUAUUAUAAGGUUAAGUACUUAUCAGGCCUCGACGUAUGUUUGGACGUACCCAGCAGGCAAACCCGGAAUAAGUUGAGCAAAACUCCAAGUUCAAAUUAUAAUAAUGUUGGUCAUAUCACUUGUCAGCAUUUAUACUGUCUCUCGGUUUACACUGUACGGUACGAUAACCGAGACGCACUGUCAUACAUAUGUAUAUAGAUAUCUCGACUUUUAAAUCUAAAUUUUUGUUGCACAGAGUUUUCUAAAGUGAUGCAUUCCAAAGCAAACAACUUUGAAGUUUAUUUUUAGUAAAUUUUGCGAAAUGUUUAAAAAUUGUACAUGUGUGUGGAAUAAACUAACUUUCGGCACGUUUCUGUGUGAAUUUCCAUAUUUGAAAUGGGAUUAUUAAUUAAUUGCUUCUAAAAAAGGACCCUUUAUCAUCUUAUGUACAAAUACACUUGAAUUUCAGGCCGUGACAAUAUCUCCAUAUGGUGAUGUUUAAGAUAAUAAUUCAAUUAGUUUAAUCGUCAAUGUACUCAACUUUACAUGUAAGUACAUA